GCAAGUCGAGCGCUACCUUCGGGUGGAGCGGCGGACGGGUUAGUAACGCGUGGGAACAUACCCUUCUCUAAGGAAUAGCCACUGGAAACGGUGAGUAAUACCUUAUACGCCCUUCGGGGGAAAGAUUUAUCGGAGAAGGAUUGGCCCGCGUUAGAUUAGAUAGUUGGUGGGGUAAUGGCUCACCAAGCCUACGAUCUAUAGCUGGUUUUAGAGGAUGAUC
rnacentral:rRNA from 1 species